AACAAGUUUUUGUUUACGUUUAUUUCAAAAAACAGAAAUUAAACAGAAAAAUAGAAAUUAAACAGUUAACAAGAAUCAACAAUAUCACCUUGAUGUCUUGUUACUUCUAUUGAAUUCUUUUUAAUUUCUUAUUAAUUUUUUGUUUUUAAUUUUCUUAUUAAAGAGUGCAUUCUGUUUCUGAUAAAAUUAUUGGAGGUCUAGAAAAAAUUGAAAGAGUUAAAAACAAACUCUUCUGAUAGAGAUCGUCAACAAUGAUUUUGUCUUAUUUUCGCUUUUCGUGAAUUUUUUUCAAUUUUUUUAAAAAAAAUCAAUUACUCUACUCACCUUGAACUAAAAAAGAAAGAAAGAAAUAGAUCACAAAUUGAAAAAUCAUUCAAAAUAAUGAAGGCAUAAAUAGCCAGAAAAACAAACUAAUUUAAAACUGGGGAACCCAAGGGCCAGAAAACUACAAAGAUAAAAAUAUAUAUAUAUAUAUAUAGAAAAUUUACUGCGUGAAUAUUCAUUUUAAUCACCCACCGGUUUAUAAAUUGAAUCCCAACUUUUGGAGUCAUAAGAUGUAAUAAAUUGUUUCAAUUCGGGAAAAAGAUGUAAGAAUCCACAUAUAUAACAAGUACAUAAACAAGCACAUAGAAACAGAGUCCUCACUCAUUUUCGCCAGAUCCGAUCGCAGAGAAAUCGGAAAACAGAUCCUCGAUCUUGCAGAGAAAUCGGAGAACGAAAAUAAAUCUGAAAGACUUUGCAAACGAGGUUUUGGACGACCAACGGAGUAUUAUGAAGAACCCGUGGAAAAUAUGUAGAAAGAACCAGCGACUUACAAAGCUUUUGAUUUCAUUCCUGAUAGAAUGUUUUUGGGAGGAAAUGACGAGGUCAUACACGCAUU
rnacentral:lncRNA from 1 species